rnacentral:rRNA from 1 species
UACGGAGGGUGCGAGCGUUAAUCGGAGUUACUGGGCGUAAAGGGCGCGUAGGCGGUAAGGUAUGUGUGAUGUGAAAGCCCCGGGCUUAACCUGGGAAGUGCAUCGCAAACUAUCUAACUAGAGUAGAUGAGAGGGUGGCGGAAUUUCCGGUGUAGCGGUGAAAUGCGUAGAGAUCGGAAGGAACGUCAAUGGCGAAGGCAGCCACCUGGCAUCAUACUGCCGCUGAGGCGCGAAAGCGUGGGGAGCGAACAGG